rnacentral:rRNA from 1 species
CUACGGGCUGCAGCAGUGGGGAAUAUUGCACAAUGGGCGCAAGCCUGAUGCAGCAACGCCGCGUGAAUGAUGAAGGCCUUCGGGUCGUAAAAUUCUGUCCUUAAGGAAGAUAAUGACGGUACUUAAGGAGGAAGCCCCGGCUAACUACGUGCCAGCAGCCGCGGUAAUACGUAGGGGGCUAGCGUUAUCCGGAUUUACUGGGCGUAAAGGGUGCGUAGGUGGUUUUUCAAGUCAGAGGUUAAAGGCUACGGCUCAACCGUAGUAAGCCUUUGAAACUGGAAAACUUGAGUGCAGGAGAGGAAAGUGGAAUUCCCAGUGUAGCGGUGAAAUGCGUAGAUAUUGGGAGGAACACCAGUAGCGAAGGCGGCUUUCUGGACUGUAACUGACACUGAGGCACGAAAGCGUGGGUAGCAAACAGGAUUAGAUACCCCCGUAGUC